rnacentral:rRNA from 1 species
CGACCGGCGCACGGGUGAGUAACACGUAUGCAACCUGGCCGUGACAGAUGGAUAACCGGGAGAAAUCCCGCCUAAUACAACAUAAUGCCGGGAGGGGACAUCCCCUGCCGGUCAAAGGGGGCGACCCCGGUCAUGGAUGGGCAUGCGGCGCAUUAGGUAGUUGGUGGGGCAACGGCCCACCAAGCCGACGAUGCGUAGGGGUUCUGAGAGGAAGGUCCCCCACAUUGGAACUGAGACACGGUCCAAACUCCUACGGGAGGCAGCAG